UUCCGGUUGAUCCUGCCGGACCUUACUGCUAUCGGGGUGGGACUAAGACAUGCGAGUCGAGCGUCUCUAGCUAUGUUGAGACGCGGCAGACGGCUCAGUAACACGUGGCUAACCUACCCUCAGGACGAGUACAAACCCGGGAAACUGGGGCUAAUACUCGAUAGGUGAGUAUAUCUGGAAUGAUUUCUCACUCAAAGGGCUUUGGAUACAUGCUUCCAACGUCGCCUGGGGAUGGGGCCGCGUCCGAUCAGGUUGUUGGUGAGGUAACGGCUCACCAAGCCUAUAACCGGUACGGGCCGUGAGAGCGGUAGCCCGGAGAUGGGUACUGAGACAAGGACCCAGGCCCUACGGGGCGCAGCAGUCGCGAAAACUCCGCAAUGCACGAAAGUGUGACGGGGCUACCCCGAGUGCCAUCCGCUGAGGGUGGCUUUUCUUUGGUAUAAUUAGCCAUUGGAAUAAGGAGAGGGCAAGACUGGUGUCAGCCGCCGCGGUAAUACCAGCUCUCCGAGUGGUAGGGAUGAUUAUUGGGCUUAAAGCGUCCGUAGCCGGCUUAGCAAGUCUCCUGUUAAAUUCAGCGACCUAAUCGUUGACCCGCGGGAGAUACUACUAAGCUAGGAGGCGGGAGAGGUCGACGGUACUUCUGGGGUAGGGGUGAAAUCCUAUAAUCCCGGGAGGACCACCAGUGGCGAAGGCUGUCGACUAGAACGCGCUCGACGGUGAGGGACGAAAGCUGGGGGAGCGAACCGGAUUAGAUACCCGGGUAGUCCCAGCCGUAAACGAUGCGGGCUAGGUGUUGGGAUGGCUACGUGCCAUUUCAGUGCCGCAGGGAAGCCAUUAAGCCCGCCGCCUGGGGAGUACGGCCGCAAGGCUGAAACUUAAAGGAAUUGGCGGGGGGAGCACCCACAAGGCGUGAAGCUUGCGGUUCAAUUGGAGUCACGCCGGGA
rnacentral:rRNA from 1 species